rnacentral:rRNA from 1 species
GACGAACGCUGGCGGCGUGCCUAAUACAUGCAAGUUGAGCGAUGAAGCUUGGUGCUUGCACCAAUUUGAAGAGCAGCGAACGGGUGAGUAACGCGUGGGGAAUCUGCCUUUGAGCGGGGGACAACAUUUGGAAACGAAUGCUAAUACCGCAUAACAACUUUAAACAUAAGUUUUAAGUUUGAAAGAUGCAAUUGCAUCACUCAAAGAUGAUCCCGCGUUGUAUUAGCUAGUUGGUGAGGUAAAGGCUCACCAAGGCGAUGAUACAUAGCCGACCUGAGAGGGUGAUCGGCCACAUUGGGACUGAGACACGGCCCAAACUCUACGGGAGGCAGCAGUAGGGAAUCUUCGGCAAUGGACGAAAGUCCGACCGAGCAACGCCGCGUGAGUGAAGAAGGUUUUCGGAUCGUAAAACUCUGUUGGUAGAGAAGAACGUUGGUGAGAGUGGAAAGCUCAUCAAGUGACGGUAACUACCCAGAAAGGGACGGCUAACUACGUG